rnacentral:rRNA from 1 species
CGGCGGACGGGUGAGUAACGCGUGGGUAACCUGCCUCAUACAGGGGGAUAACAGUUAGAAAUGACUGCUAAUACCGCAUAAGACCACGGUACCGCAUGGUACAGUGGUAAAAACUCCGGUGGUAUGAGAUGGACCCGCGUCUGAUUAGGUAGUUGGUGGGGUAACGGCCUACCAAGGCGACGAUCAGUAGCCGACCUGAGAGGGUGACCGGCCACAUUGGGACUGAGACACGGCCCAA